UGGCUGAGCUAUUGCUAUUGGAGAUGCUCUAAACAUAACCAAAUAUCAAUACAAUCAGCCAUUAAAUACCUUAAUUUUUCAGCAUUAAAUAUCUUAAUUUUUUACUAAUUAUUUAGAAGAUCAUAACUAAAUAUAAUUGAAGCCCACAACUAUCAAGCCCAUACAGAUACACCUCAAUAACCUAAUUUCAUAUAAUCCAUCGUCUUCUUCAUAUUUAAUCGCAGCCGCUGUUAAAUAGGGGCUUUUGCAGAGGAUUUUGGUGGGUCUGCACAGCCAGGUAGCCUGCGCUGCCGUUGUACUUCUCCCUUCCUCGCCCAGAAGUCCAGCCGCCGCCGGAGUAGCUUGCCGUCGCGAGUCGGGAUCGGCCUUGACUGUCUUGGUUCCAGAAAUGGAUAGAUCUAAAGAAUCCACCUUUAUCCCGUUGAGUCUACCGGAGCAUCGCCGGAUUACGGCCAGAAUCACCACGAGCCUGCAAUAAGAAUAUGUUUACAUUAGUUUACAAAUAGACAUAAAUGCAGCCUCAAUAAUAUUGUGCAGUACCUAUUUAUAAAUAUUGCAAUGUUCUUUGAGAGCCUUGCUUUAAUUGAGCAUUUUUUGUAAACCGUAUAAUGCCAACAUUUGUAAAAAAAUAGAAAAAAAUAAUUAUACAAUCAGCUUCUCAUUUCUCUCCAAAAAGGAUAACAUUGUCUUU